rnacentral:snoRNA from 1 species
GAUGCGGUCUGUCCUGAUAGGCUCUUUUCGUAAACCCACAUUAUUGGUAACACUUCACAGAGGAAUGUUGAUGUUUGACUUUACUUAUAGAACUAUUUGAUAAGUCUGUGAGAAUGAACUACAAGGUCAUU